UACGGGGGGGGCAAGCGUUGUUCGGAAUUACUGGGCGUAAAGGGCGCGUAGGCGGUUCGCUAAGUUGGAUGUGAAAACUCUGGGCUCAACCCAGAGCCUGCAUCCAAAACUGGCGGGCUAGAGUUCUGGAGGGGGUAGCGGAAUUCCUGGUGUAGCGGUGAAAUGCGUAGAUAUCCGGAGGAACACCGGUGGCGAAGGCGGCUUCCUGGACCGAUUACUGACGCUGAGGCGCGAAAGCUAGGGGAGCAAACGGG
rnacentral:rRNA from 1 species